UAUAUAGUAUAUAGUAGGGUAUAAAUAUAAGUACUUGACUAUACAAUAUACUAUCAGUGUAAGAAUAUGUAGACUGGGUGUGCGAAAGACAAUAUUGUUGUAUAAAAUGGUCUGUAAUAUCAAAAUGGUUUAAUUAACACAUAUCACAGAAGUAAAUGUUCCAGUAUAUGGGGCGUAGUGUAGUACAGGGUACAUGGUGCAAGGGUGACAGGUAUGUUAGUGCAGUUCUGUGAUGGUGGCUCUGACAGAGGUAGAUGAGUUAUAGAGUCUUAUUGCGGUUGGAAUGAACGAUUUCCUGUAUCGCUCCUUAGAGCAGCGGGGUUGGAUGAGCCUGUGGCUGAAGCUGCUCUUUAGCUUGUCCAGUGUUUUGUGGAGGGGGUGAGAGGGAUUGUCCAUGAUUGCCAGCAGUUUUGCCAGCAUCCUGUUCUCCACCACCUCCUCCAUGGUGACAAGCUUAGAGCCAACCACAGACUCUGCUUUCCUUAUGAUUUUGUUCAGUCUGUUGGCAUCCUUUGUCCUGAUGCCCGCACCCCAGGACACCACAGCAAAGAAGAUGGUGCUCGCCACAACAGACUGAUAGAACAUCUGCAGCAUCUUGUUGCAGACAUUGAAGGACCCGAGCCUCCUCAGGAAGUAAAGCCGGCUCAGGCCCUUCUUGUAGACGGCCUCUGUGUGGGUGGACCAGUCCAGUUUAUUGUCCAAUGUGAUACCGAGGUACUUGUAUGCAGGUACCACCUCCACAUCCGUCCCACCGAUGCAGACAGGAGAGGGCAGGGGCUUGUUCCUCCUGAAAUCCACCACCAUCUCCUUCGUCUUCUCCACGUUGAGCUGCAGGCGGUUCUCCCCACACCACUUCACAAAGCGGUCGACCAGGUCCCUGUACUCAGCCUCCCUCCCGCCCUCAAUACACCCCACAAUGGCUGUGUCAUCAGAGAACUUCUGCAGAUGACACGACUCAGUGCAGUGCUUAAAAUCAGCAGUGUAUGUGGUGAAGAGGAAGGGGGACAGUACAGUUCCCUGGGGGGCCCCGAUGUUACUGAUCAGACGAUCAGACACACAAUUCUGUAAUCUCACAAACUGUGGUCUGCCCGUCAGAUAGUCAUCGACCCAAGUGAUGAGGGGAGCACUCACCCGCGUGCCCUCCAGUUUGGCCUUCAGCAGUCUGGGCUGGAUGGUGUUGAAGGCGCUGGAGAAAUCAAAAAACAUGAUCCGGACUGAGGUGUUGGGUCUGUCCAGGGAGGAGUAGGCCUUCUGCAGCAGGUAGAUGAUUGCAUCAUCAACCCCAACAUGGGGCUGAUAUGCAAACUGCAGGGGGUCUUGUGAUGGGCACACCAGUGGUCUGAGGUGUGCCAAUACCAGUCUCUCCAUGACCUUCAUGAUGUGAGAGGUCAGUGCCACCGGCCUGUAGUCCUCCAGUGCAGCAGGAUGUCCUUUUUUGGGCACUGGGACCAGGCAGGAUGUUUUCCAGAGCACUGGCACUCUCUGAAGGUGUAGGCUCAGGUUGAAGAGGUGCUGGAGAACUCCACAGAGCUGGCUGGAACAUGCCUUCAGCACACGAGGGCUGAUGCGGUCCGGUCCAGCAGCUUUCCUCUGUUUGAGCCUCUCCAGCUCUCUCCUCACCUGGCUGGCUGUGAUGUGUAGUCCAGACUGGAGGGUAGGGGAUGUCAGUGGUGGGUUUGAGGGUGGUGCAAAGAGGUGUGUGUUGCAGGAGGUGGUGGUGGUGGGGGACUGUGGGUGAUGUGAGGAUGUCCUGGGGGUGGGAGGUGUGAAAAAGUCUGUGGUGAAAGCCAGCGGAGGGGUGGGGGGAGAUGGUGACGGGUGUGGUGUGGGGCAGAGGAUGAUGGGGGGAGGUGGGGGGUUGUUGCUCUGAGAAGCAGUAGAGGCAGUCGUAGAGGCAGUGGAGGGUCCGCUGGGGGUGGGGUGGUUGUUGUUGAA
rnacentral:misc_RNA from 1 species